AUGGACGCACGGAUGAGGCUGAUAAUCCAGGCAGCAGCACUGAUUAGUGUGAUUCAGGUAUGGGUCAUGUUCAUGCACCAGAGAGCUGUUCGUCGUGCUGGGAGACCUUUGAUCCGCUAUGGUCCAUUGUUUCUCCGAAAACAGGAGAGGAUCCAAAAUCUGAACUACAUCUACAACUGCAAUGACGUCGAGGCUCUGUGGAUGCUUAGAAUGAAAAGAUCACCAUUUGCCAGGCUUGUCGAGACCUUCAGGAGAAGGGGGCUGCUACAAGAUAGCAUCAACACCAGUGUCGAAGAGCAAGUGGCCAUGUUCCUCCAUGUUGUUGGCCAUAACCAGAGGUUCAGGGUCAUUCACAAUACGUUCAGGAGAUCAAUGGAGACCAUCUCUAGGUACUUCAAGCAAGUGCUUUAUGCUAUUGGGGAGCUUAGAGGAGAGAUGAUCAAGAGACCAUCUGAUUGCAUUGGGACAAUAGAUGGUACUCAUGUCACUGCCAGAGUUCCUAGGUCACAGUCUGCAGCAUACAGGGGGAGGAACCACUACACAAGCCAGAAUGUGCUUGCUGCUGUUGACUUUGAUCUGAAGUUCACAUAUGUGUUGGCUGGCUGGGAGGGGUCAGCGCAUGAUGCUAACAUUCUCACUGACAACAUGAGUCGACCUGAUGGGAUCAACAUCCUCGACGGAAAGUUCUACCUUGAAGAUGCUGGCUAUGGAUGUCGGCCGGGUAUUCUUCCACCCUUCAGGAAAACAAGGUACCAUCUCAACGAGUUCUCUGGUAGGAACUAUCCUAGGACUGCACAUGAGCUGUUUAAUCUCAGACACUCCAGCCUUAGAGUAACUAUUGAGAAGGCAUUUGGAGAUCUGAAGAAUAGGUUUAAGAUCCUGGAUCAGAAGUCAUUCCACCCAUACUCCACUCAGGAAGAUGUCGAGCCUGACGAUGUUGUUAGCUCCGGCCAUGGUGUGGAGACAUUUGACAAUGACGCUUGGAAGAACAAAAGGUUGGAGUGGGCAGAGGCGAUGUGGCUUAACAGAGGUCAGUGCAGGAUUUGA
rnacentral:rRNA from 1 species